CAGGUCCUACGGGAGGCAGCAGUAGGGAAUCUUCCACAAUGGGCGAAAGCCUGAUGGAGCAACGCCGCGUGGGUGAAGAAGGGCUUCGGAUCGUAAAACCCUGUUGUUAGAGAAGAAAGUGCGUGAGAGUAACUGUUCACGUUUCGACGGUAUCUAACCAGAAAGCCACGGCUAACUACGUGCCAGAAGCCGCGGUAAUACGUAGGUGGCAAGCGUUAUCAGGAUUUAUUGGGCGUAAAGGGAACGCAGGCGGUCUUUUAAGUCUGAUGUGAAAGCAUUCGGCUUAACCGGAGUAGUGCAUUGGA
rnacentral:rRNA from 1 species